rnacentral:rRNA from 1 species
AUAUCAAUAAGCGGAGGAAAAGAAACCAACAGGGAUUGCCUUAGUAACGGCGAGUGAAGCGGCAACAGCUCAAAUUUGAAAGCUGGCCCUUUUAGGGUCCGCGUUGUAAUUUGUAGAGGAUGAUUCGGCGAGGGCUCCCGCCUAAGUCCCCUGGAACGGGGCGUCAUAGAGGGUGAGAAUCCCGUAUGCGGUGGGCUGCCUUAGCCAUGUGAAUCUCCUUCGACGAGUCGAGUUGUUUGGGAAUGCAGCUCUAAAUGGGAGGUAAAUUUCUUCUAAAGCUAAAUACCGGCCAGAGACCGAUAGCGCACAAGUAGAGUGAUCGAAAGAUGAAAAGCACUUUGGAAAGAGAGUUAAAAAGUACGUGAAAUUGUUGAAAGGGAAGCGCUUGCAACCAGACUUGUCCGCAGUUGCUCAGCCGGUCUCCUGACCGGCGUACUCUUCUGCGGCCAGGCCAGCAUCAGUUCGGGCGGUCGGAUAAAGACCUCGGGAAUGUAGCUCCUCUCGGGGAGUGUUAUAGCCCGGGGUGGAAUGCGGCCAGCCUGGACUGAGGAUCUCGCUUCGGCAAGGAUGCUGGCGUAAUGGUUGUAAGCGGCCCGUCUUGAAACACGGACCAAGGAGUCUAACAUCUAUGCGAGUGUUUGGGUGUCAAACCCAUACGCGUAAUGAAAGUGAACGGAGGUGGGAACCCGCAAGGGCGCACCAUCGGCCGAUCCUGAUGUCUUCGGAUGGAUUUGAGCAAGAGCAUAGCUGUUGGGACCCGAAAGAUGGUGAACUAUGCCUGAAUAGGGUGAAGCCAGAGGAAACUCUGGUGGAGGCUCGCAGCGGUUCUGACGUGCAAAUCGAUCGUCAAAUUUGGGUAUAGGGGCGAAAGACUAAUCGAACCAU